GGCCAGUUAGAAGACAACCUAGCCUACACAGAAAAAGGUGAUAACUCAUCCAGCAAGAACCACUGAUACAAGCUGUGGACAAGCCAUACAGCAGGGACCACUAUUAUUCUGUCUGGAGUCAGUGAAAACAUUACCUCGAAUGACAUAUUGUAUCAUCAGCUUCUCACUCUUGACAGCUGUUUGCAAAAUAUUUAUAAAGAAGAAUAUAGCCACAGAAGAAAAAGAAGAAGAAGAAGAAGAAGAAGAAGAAGAAGAAGAAGAAGAAGAAGAAGAAGAAGAAGAAGAAGAAGAAGAAGAAGAAGAAGAAGAAGAAGAAAAACUCUGUAGGAACCAGAGAUUAGAUGAUUAGACAGAAUCUGUGUUCUUGGCACAGCAGGGCAGUUAUACAUAUGAACUCACAGUGGUUAUUAAAGCAUCCAUGAAAACCAUGCAAGCCCAACCUAGUCCAAGUCCCAGCAUAAGGGAGUUGGAUAUAAAUUCCUACCCAUAGUUAUGGGACUAUUGACAUUUGCUAGUGGCUUGAAGAAAGAGAGAUGGUUUUCUCAGAUUGUAGCCUCUGGUGAGCUAGCCAUGCUUCUAAUGGAAUACCAUAUCUAAGAAUAUUUGUACAACAUAGAUUGGUCCUUAUAGGCUUACAAUUAAAGGAAAAGAAAGGGGCACCAAAGAUAAGCAAAAAGAAAAUUGGAGGUAGGUCUGUGAAGAAUAGGGGAUAGAGUGUGAAUAUGAUUAUUUCAAAGUAUGAAAUCAGAAUAAACAUGUUCUAAAUGUAGAAAUUUAUGUGUUCUAUAUGAUGAUAUUUAGAGAAUUACAUGAUAUUUUUAUAAUCUGGGUACCCAAUUUAUAUGCAUUUGAUGGUUAAAUAUGGCUCCAAUAAAUAAGCAAUUUUCUUCUUAUAUAUAAAGAAACUUCUAGGAUAAAAUCUAAGUAGACAGAUAUAUAUGAGGACAGCAUUGCCUAUGACUUUUGGUGCUGAGCUUGUAUGAUCAGUUUCAUGACUAAGAUCUUCCAAUGUCUUGACAUCACUGAGGAACCCUUGUCUCCAUUUCCUCACUGGGACUCUUUCAUAUUUGGUAAUUUCAAACAGAAAUAAAUCUAAGAAUUUAUUGCACAGUAGUCCUAUUUUAAGAUUUAUAUGGUGUAAGAGAGACUGCUUCCAUUCUGCCAUCCCAGAAACUAUACAGAGGUUGCUACUGCUUAUUGCUGUUCUUUGGGGAGCCAUGGAUACAUUCCUCAAACCUAGGAAUGUCAAGAAAGGUCAAUAUUAAGAUGCAUUUGAUAACUAUGAGGCCAGACCCACACUUUUGUUUGAAUGUCCAGUGGCACAACUGGGAAAAUAAAAUACCAACUCAAACCCUGUGGAAAUGGUGCUGAUUGAAGAUGAGUGGCCCAGUUUGGACUCCAGGCAGUGCCAGCUCCUGUCUCAACCAGAUGUUCUUUCAGGCAUGUGGUAUCACUACUGGGGAGAAUGGGAGAACCUUUACUGACUCUCAUAAUGAGCCUAUUGAAGCGCCAGGUGGGACUCAUUCCAGGUGUGUGAUCACCUUGCUAGAAGAUGGGCAAUGGGGAGCAAUUUUACUUGAUUUAGAUAGUUAUAUAUUUUCUAGGAAACCCUUCUACUAAAGGUACCUCUUAGCAUUUGCAAAAGCAUAAUAAGAAGAAUAUAUUUUUAAUUAGUUAAGUAAUUGAACAUAGGGCUUAUUUUUUUUUCAUUUUCUCCACUUCUUUGGAUGGUAAAUACAUGACCCCACAAAGCUGAAAAACACAAUCCACCAAGUAGUUGAACAAAUAUUAACUUCUGAGCUGAGACUACAACCAGAUUCACUCUUUCAUACAUUACGCAUUUGUAAUUUCCCAUCGACUAGGGUAAUUGCCAAUUCCAGUGAGCUAACUUAAAAAAUCUGUUUUUCUCUUUAACUAAAACAUAAUAUAAAAUCAGGAUCAGAUUUCUGCUCUGCGCCUGUGAAAAUGGCUUAUUUCCAGAAAUGUUUAGAGAGUAUAAUAGUUUGCACCCAGAUGUAGCUACAGAACACUCAGAAAAAUGCUUGUUUUCUUGUAUAUAAUUCCAACCUUCCACCCGCGCUAACUGCAAAUGAUGAUUUGGGUUGUUUUUCAACAUUUUAAUGAAAAUGAAAGCUUCAUCAGGGGUAAUAUGUCAUCUCUUAUGCAAAUGUAUCAACUAAUGAUUCCAUUACCAGUCUUCAAGGGAAGUCUGACCACCAAGGAAGAGAAUCCAAGUCAUGGCUAUGGUGCACAAUCUCCCAGCUCUGAAACCACUAAAGUAGAAGCUUGGUCCCAGAUGAGAUGUUGUAGAGAAGUGAUGGAGAACUUAGGAGAUGUUAGAGUUUGUGAUGUACCCAUGUCUCCUCAGAGCUUUAGGAUAACUCCCAGGAGAUUAGGUUAACAUAAAACCUGUCUAUUUGCUUCACUUAUUUUUCUUUCUGAAGCAUUUGCUUGAAUUCUGGUGUACGAAAUGGGUCAAACAAACCUAAAAGUUUUCCUACAGAGGCUGAGAAGUCCUAACCUUGGACUUCCAGGAUGUGAACUCAGUAUUUUUAAUAACGUAAUUAUUAUAUAUUACUCAAUGUUGAGCAUUAUAAUUCUAACAACAGGAAUCAUAUGAGAGCCAUUAGGAAAGUUUUUAGGUCUAACAAAACUUGAGUGAUUGUUAGGAGUCUUGGAAUUCGGAAUUAUGAACCUCUCAUGGACAUGUAUCAAGAGAGAAAAUCCAUGGAUUUAAUAUUAAUACCUGGCUAUAAUUUACUAGAAGACACACAGGAAUUUAAGAUGAGAUGUUAGUAAAAAGUAAGUGACUCCCCAGCCCAGCUGAGGGACUAAUAUCAAAGCUUGUUGGAUAAAGAAAAUGCAAGACCUGUACAAUAAAUAUUGCCUGAUCAAAUGUAGUCCUGAAACAUUGGUAUCCAUAGGGAACUUGUUAGUUCUGUGCCCUUUCCAGACUUACUGAAUUGACUUAACAAUAUUCCCAAGUGGCUUAUAUAAAUACUGGAAAGUUCAAUUAACAAGAGCUUGUGGUGCAUUUCUGCUUAGUCUUGAGUAGUGUGGAAUACCAGCUAGCUGUCAACUAGUAUAAUGAGUAAUAUUACGGGCUAAUAGUACUGGUGAUACUCAGUGAGAGAAAAAUGGCUAUUUGAAAGCAAUGGUGCUGGUAAAUUUGCAAAGUGUUGAGGAAAUCACUAGCAAAAUGAGAAAGGGGUAGGGUCCAUAGUGGCCAAAACUCCUAAUGUAGGGAAGAGCCGGCAUCCAAGAUGGGCAAUGCACAGCCCACUCAUUGAUAUAUCAAGUAAUUAAAAUGGUAGGGUAAAAGCAGCUUCAUAGUGAUGCCACACAGUAAAGGGACAGGGCUAUAGGAAUCCUUGGAAUAAUGAUGAGACAUGUUGGCUUUCAGGGUUGGACCAUAUUUUCAUUCCUCCUUUAGUGAUGGUGAGCAGCUUAGAUAAGUCUUUCCCAUCUCCUGAAAUGGAGGAGCAGAGUAUAUACAACUCAAUAGAUAGCAGCCUCAGAUUCUAGAAUUUUAUGGACAAUACCCUUGCAAACUACCAUUUCCUCUUCUAUGAGAGUAAAGACUGGUUAGAGACAUCCUAUUUAUGGUUAAUAUAGUUAUUAGUUCAUGUAUAUAUUGUCUUUAGCCAUGGGUCCUUGCCAUCAGUUUGGUGCUAUCAGUAGCUAGGUCUUGUCAACAGCCUAGGUUGUUUGUGAAUUCAUAUGAGACUCCUUUGGCCAGCAUUUCAUUUUGGUGUGACCCAUCAUUGGUAAUUUCUUUUGGUGAAGAGAUGGCUAGUUAAUACUCUGUCUGUCUCAAUAUUUAGUGAUUUAAUUAGAUUGCCUUCAUAUAUAAGUUUUAGCAAGCUUGUAUUAGGUUUCCAUACUAUUCCUCAAAUGCUUUUUAAUGUUAGUUUCUCUCCCCAUAUUCUUCAAUUCUCUCUCUCUCUCUCUCUCUCUCUCUCUCUCUCUCUCUCUCUCUCUCUCUCUCUCUCUCUCUCUCCCCUCUCUCUCUGCUCCCCUGCCCCUUUAUCGUUCUGUUUUAGACUGGCCAAUCUAUCCAUAUCUAUUUACUUUUCCUAAGGAGAGCUCUUUAUAUUCACUACUCCCUUACUCUAUAUCUAAGUUUUGUGCUUCUACACAUUGUAGUUUGGUUAUCAUUGACUUAAUUACUAACAUCUACAUAUAUAAUAUUUGUCCUGUAUCAGAGGUACAUCGCUCACAAUGAUUUUUUUCUAGUUCUAUCCAUUUACCUGUGAAUUUCAUGAUGUUAUUUUUAAUGGCCAUUUAAUAUGCCAUCACAUAAAUGUACCACAUUUUCUUCAUCCACUCUUAUGUUGAGAAACAUCUAAGUUGUUUCCAGGUUCUGGCUAUUAUGAACAACGUAGCAAUGAACAUGGACACAACAUACUUUCAAAGACAGCCUUGAAAAAAGAAUCCUGGUGUACUCUCAAAUUUCAUCAGGAUUUGAAAUAUUAAGGUUGGCAUGUAUGAGUUCAAACACAUUAUUUAACAAAACUGCUUCUGCAUUGACAUCACUUAAUUACUCUGAAUAUAUACAUACAUACAUACAUACAUACACAUAUAUAUGUAUAUAUAUAUAUAUAUAUAUACAUACAUAUAUAUAUACAUAUAUAUAUGUGUGUGUGUGUGUAUGUAUGUGUAUACAUAUAUACAAUAUAUAUGUAUAUAUAUGUAUAUAUGUAUAUAUAUAUAUAUAUAUAUAUAGUGAUAGAAAUGUCACAAAUCAAUGUUUUGUCAUUUUUUUUUCAUUUUCUUCAGGAUGUUUUCUUCAUUCUAGUUUCCAACCUAAGAAGGGACAGAGGUUUUAUCUUCUACACUCUGCUUGUGACUCUCAUUUUCUCAUAAGGAUCAUAUGGCACUUCCUUCCUUAACUUUUGUCACAUAAUUUUAUGUAGUAUUAUUAUCAAUUAGAAUGAAUAACAUUCUGUAGCAAUAAAUACACCCAAA